GACGAACGCUGGCGGCGUGCCUAAUACAUGCAAGUAGAACGCUGAAGAGAGGAGCUUGCUCUUCUUGGAUGAGUUGCGAACGGGUGAGUAACGCGUAGGUAACCUGCCUUGUAGCGGGGGAUAACUAUUGGAAACGAUAGCUAAUACCGCAUAACAAUGGAUGACCCAUGUCAUUUAUUUGAAAGGGGCAAAUGCUCCACUACAAGAUGGACCUGCGUUGUAUUAGCUAGUAGGUGAGGUAACGGCUCACCUAGGCGACGAUACAUAGCCGACCUGAGAGGGUGAUCGGCCACACUGGGACUGAGACACGGCCCAGACUCCUACGGGAGGCAGCAGUAGGGAAUCUUCGGCAAUGGGGGCAACCCUGACCGAGCAACGCCGCGUGAGUGAAGAAGGUUUUCGGAUCGUAAAGCUCUGUUGUAAGUCAAGAACGAGUGUGAGAGUGGAAAGUUCACACUGUGACGGUAGCUUACCAGAAAGGGACGGCUAACUACGUGCCAGCAGCCGCGGUAAUACGUAGGUCCCGAGCGUUGUCCGGAUUUAUUGGGCGUAAGGCGAGCGCAGGCGGUUUGAUAAGUCUGAAGUUAAAGGCUGUGGCUCAACCAUAGUUCGCUUUGGAAACUGUCAAACUUGAGUGCAGAAGGGGAGAGUGGAAUUCCAUGUGUAGCGGUGAAAUGCGUAGAUAUAUGGAGGAACACCGGUGGCGAAAGCGGCUCUCUGGUCUGUAACUGACGCUGAGGCUCGAAAGCGUGGGGAGCGAACAGGAUUAGAUACCCUGGUAGUCCACGCCGUAAACGAUGAGUGCUAGGUGUUGGAUCCUUUCCGGGAUUCAGUGCCGCAGCUAACGCAUUAAGCACUCCGCCUGGGGAGUACGACCGCAAGGUUGAAACUCAAAGGAAUUGACGGGGGCCCGCACAAGCGGUGGAGCAUGUGGUUUAAUUCGAAGCAACGCGAAGAACCUUACCAGGUCUUGACAUCCCGAUGCUAUUUCUAGAGAUAGAAAGUUACUUCGGUACAUCGGUGACAGGUGGUGCAUGGUUGUCGUCAGCUCGUGUCGUGAGAUGUUGGGUUAAGUCCCGCAACGAGCGCAACCCCUAUUGUUAGUUGCCAUCAUUCAGUUGGGCACUCUAGCGAGACUGCCGGUAAUAAACCGGAGGAAGGUGGGGAUGACGUCAAAUCAUCAUGCCCCUUAUGACCUGGGCUACACACGUGCUACAAUGGUUGGUACAACGAGUUGCGAGUCGGUGACGGCAAGCUAAUCUCUUAAAGCCAAUCUCGGUUCGGAUUGUAGGCUGCAACUCGCCUACAUGAAGUCGGAAUCGCUAGUAAUCGCGGAUCAGCACGCCGCGGUGAAUACGUUCCCGGGCCU
rnacentral:rRNA from 1 species